rnacentral:rRNA from 1 species
UACGGAGGGGGCUAGCGUUGUUCGGAAUUACUGGGCGUAAAGCGCACGUAGGCGGCUUUGUAAGUUAGAGGUGAAAGCCCAGGGCUCAACCCUGGAAUUGCCUUUUAAGACUGCAUCGCUUGAACAUCGGAGAGGUAAGUGGAAUUCCGAGUGUAGAGGUGAAAUUCGUAGAUAUCAGGAGGAACACCAGUGGCGAAGGCGGCUUCCUGGACACCAACUGACGCUGAGACGCGAAAGCGUGGGGAGCAAACAGG